rnacentral:rRNA from 1 species
UGGGGAAUAUUGCACAAUGGGGGAAACCCUGAUGCAGCGACGCCGCGUGAGCGAUGAAGGCUUUCGAGUCGUAAAGCUCUUUCCUAUUGGAAGAUAAUGACGGUACCAUAGAAGAAAGCCCCGGCUAAUUACGUGUCAGCAGCCGCGGUAAUACGUAAGGGGCGAGCGUUGUCCGGAAUUAUUGGGCGUAAAGAGUGCGUAGGCGGCAAAUUAAGUCAGAUGUGAAAACUAAGGGCUCAACCCAUAGAUUGCAUCUGAAACUGAUAUGCUUGAGUCAAGGAGAGGAAAGUGGAAUUCCUAGUGUAGCGGUGGAAUGCGUAGAUAUUAGGAGGAAAACCGGUGGCGAAGGCGACUUUCUGAACUUGAACUGACGCUGAGGAACGAAAGCGUGGGGAGCAAACAGG